CGGCGAUACCCGAAUGGGGAAACCCAGUGUGACUCGUCACACUAUCAUUAACUGAAUCCAUAGGUUAAUGAGGCGAACCGGGGGAACUGAAACAUCUAAGUACCCCGAGGAAAAGAAAUCAACCGAGAUUCCCCCAGUAGCGGCGAGCGAACGGGGAGGAGCCCAGAGCCUGAAUCAGCAUGUGUGUUAGUGGAAGCGUCUGGAAAGGCGCGCGAUACAGGGUGACAGCCCCGUACACAAAAGCGCAUGUGCUGUGAGCUCGAUGAGUAGGGCGGGACACGUGGUAUCCUGUCUGAAUAUGGGGGGACCAUCCUCCAAGGCUAAAUACUCCUGACUGACCGAUAGUGAACCAGUACCGUGAGGGAAAGGCGAAAAGAACCCCGGCGAGGGGAGUGAAAAAGAACCUGAAACCGUGUACGUACAAGCAGUGGGAGCACAGGUUUACCUGUGUGACUGCGUACCUUUUGUAUAAUGGGUCAGCGACUUAUAUUCUGUAGCAAGGUUAACCGUAUAGGGGAGCCGUAGGGAAACCGAGUCUUAACCGGGCGUUAAGUUGCAGGGUAUAGACCCGAAACCCGGUGAUCUAGCCAUGGGCAGGUUGAAGGUUGGGUAACACUAACUGGAGGACCGAACCGACUAAUGUUGAAAAAUUAGCGGAUGACCUGUGGCUGGGGGUGAAAGGCCAAUCAAACCGGGAGAUAGCUGGUUCUCCCCGAAAGCUAUUUAGGUAGCGCCUCGUGAAUUCAUCUCCGGGGGUAGAGCACUGUUUCGGCUAGGGGGCCAUCCCGGCUUACCAACCCGAUGCAAACUGCGAAUACCGGAGAAUGUUAUCACGGGAGACACACGGCGGGUGCUAACGUCCGUCGUGAAGAGGGAAACAACCCAGACCGCCAGCUAAGGUCCCAAAGUCAUGGUUAAGUGGGAAACGAUGUGGGAAGGCCCAGACAGCCAGGAUGUUGGCUUAGAAGCAGCCAUCAUUUAAAGAAAGCGUAAUAGCUCACUGGUCGAGUCGGCCUGCGCGGAAGAUGUAACGGGGCUAAACCAUGCACCGAAGCUGCGGCAGCGACGCUGAUGCGUUGUUG
rnacentral:rRNA from 1 species